rnacentral:rRNA from 1 species
AACGUAGGUGGCAAGCGUUAUCCGGAUUUACUGGGCGUAAAGCGUGUGCAGGCGGGACGGCAAGUGGUGUAUGAAAUCGUUGGGCUCAACCCAGCGAGGUUAUGCCAGACUGCCGUUCUGGAGCGCGAGAGAGGGGCGUGGAAUUCCGGGUGUAGUGGUGAAAUGCGUAGAGAUCCGGAGGAACCCCAGAGGCGAAGGCGGCGCCCUGGCUCGCGACUGACGCUCAGACACGACAGCAUGGGGAGCGAACGGG